UACGAAGGGGGCUAGCGUUGUUCGGAUUUACUGGGCGUAAAGCGCACGUAGGCGGAUCGUUAAGUCGGGGGUGAAAUCCUGGAGCUCAACUCCAGAGCUGCCUUCGAUACUGGCGAUCUCGAGUCCGGAAGAGGUGAGUGGAACUCCUAGUGUAGAGGUGGAAUUCGUAGAUAUUAGGAAGAACACCAGUGGCGAAGGCGGCUCACUGGUCCGGUACUGACGCUGAGGUGCGAAAGCGUGGGGAGCAAACAGG
rnacentral:rRNA from 1 species